CUGCAAUGUGUUCCCAUGGCGGCUGAGAACUCUCCCGACCCUCCCGUGAACUAUACGUUCAUGCACAUCUCACGGUGGCUCCAUAGGUGGAAGAAGCUGCUGUCAAUCAAUUAAAACGCAGUAACGGGCGUUCCGGGAUUCACCUCACUGCCACAAACUCUCAUUAUCCCGUCCCCAGAAGCUACAGCAGCCCUCCCCAUGGAGGCGGGAGCGCACAGGUGACGGAUUUGAGGUGCUACACCGCCACCUGUUGUCCCGCGCAGGCGCUGCAGUCCCCCUGCUGAGCGCCACACGGGCGCGUCCGCCGCCGCUUUCCCUCAACCCGAAGCAGAGCUGUUUUUCUCUCUCCUCUCGGAUGACAGCCGUCCUCUGCGCGCUUCAGCAGCACAUUUAAGGAGGGAUCAGAACUGCUUUUUUUCCGUGGCUGUGUUUCGCCUUGGUCGGCAUUAGUGGGGAAGAAGAGCUGCGGUGAAAGGAGAGAGACAGAGAGAGACUCCCGUCUCCAGCUGCUGGAUACCAGGAUCCUUUUAACACUGUCGUGAUGGAGGCUGAUAUGUGGACAGUGGAGUAAAGGAGCCAGAGGAGUCCUGGUUUGAUGUUUGGAUGUGUGAUGCACGGAGAGCGGGAUAAGUCCCAUUUACAAGCUCCAGAGCCGACGGCGGAUUGGAAUACGCAUUUGAGUGGAACCGUCCGUUAAACUAUAGAGUGCGGAUGGAAAUUUAAAGGUGUGGAGGGAAGACUGUGUGCUGGAGCCAGGGAUUGCAUCUUGAUGUAAAACUACUGAACCCUGCGGGCUGAGAGUCAUCUCCAGUGUUCCCCUUCGCGUCAGUCAUCAAGGGACACAUUUUGACUGUACAAACCACCACCUUGCCAUGGACCGCCCGUGUCCUGGUGAAGGCGUGAGCCGGACACGGGCUCUCGUUGGGAAACUGUAGCCGUGAGGAUUCUCUCCAACUUACUUCCCGUGAUUUUACUCUGGAGGUAUUCUGUAUUGGGACCAGGGAUGGAUGUACCGGAGGCCAGCAAGCAUGGCAAGAAGUCGACAAGUCAAAAGCUGGAGGACCAGAAAAAGAAACAAUGCUGGGUCCAGGAGCGACGGCUCAACUAACUCUAACCCAAACGGCAACGCACAAAGAGUCACAUCCAAAACAAAAUGCGUGCACAGACACAGACUCUCUCUGCCCCUAAAUUCCCUGCCGUGUGAAGCUCACUCUGAGGAUUUUUGGUACUUGUUUGUCCCAUCGAGUCACCAGAGCAAGUCAUUUUCUGCCGUGGACGCCUGCUUUACCUGAAAGGACAACAGCAAUGCUCAAAAUAUGGUCGACAGAGGACCACACAUGCUUGUGUAUGAGGCCAUAUUGGUGUCUGUUUGUAUGCAUGCGAUGGGAAUCCAUUAUGGCUGACAUACCUGUGGGCCUUUGUGUUAUGAUGUUUC
ensembl:lncRNA